AGCCGCUCAGGUGUUGGUCACAGGCAACAGGUGGAAGGGGCGGAGGUGUGCGCGCUCGGCCUUGAUUCUAAGCAACUUAUCCACGCCUUCAAGCAGAUGUCCCUUAGCGUAUACGACUACAUCAAUUCCCAUGACUUGAGGAUCAGCCGUGGAAGAGAGGAGAUGAGCAGAAGAGAUGGAGACGCCCCUUCCCCUAACCCCACCUUCACCACCGCCACCUCGUCUCACUGGACACGCCCACCGCCCACCCACUCACCUGACCGGCUUUGUUUGGCAGGGACAGGCUGACAGGAGAUGGCAGUUUGAGCCGUAACCUACACAAGAUUUAAACAAGAACUCAUGCUACGGGAACGGCCACAAAUAGACUUCAUCGCAUGCAGCGGCUGUCACAUCACACCUUUCAUCAUCAUAUUCCUGUCAGAUUAAUUUAACUGGAUAUGCUGAGAGAAUUAUGUCAUGCCC